rnacentral:rRNA from 1 species
UGGGGAUAUUGCACAAUGGGGGAAACCCUGAUGCAGCAACGCCGCGUGAAUGAUGAAGGUCUUCGGAUUGUAAAGUUCUGUUCUUGGUGAGGAUAAUGACGGUAGCCAAGGAGAAAGCUCCGGCUAACUACGUGCCAGCAGCCGCGGUAAUACGUAGGGAGCGAGCGUUGUCCGGAUUUACUGGGUGUAAAGGGAGCGUAGACGGAGAGGCAAGUCUGAUGUGAAAGGCAGGGGCUCAACCCCUGGACUGCAUUGGAAACUGUCCCUCUUGAGUGCCGGAGGGGUAAGCGGAAUUCCUAGUGUAGCGGUGAAAUGCGUAGAUAUUAGGAGGAGCACCAGUGGCGAAGGCGGCUUACUGGACGGUAACUGACGUUGAGGCUCGAAAGCGUGGGGAGCAAACAGGAUUAGAUACC